rnacentral:rRNA from 1 species
GACGAACGCUGGCGGCGUGCCUAAUACAUGCCAGUUGAGCGCUGAAGGUUGGUACUUGUACCAACUGGAUGAGCAGCGAACGGGUGAGUAACGCGUGGGGAAUCUGCCUUUGAGCGGGGGACAACAUUUGGAAACGAAUGCUAAUACCGCAUAAAAACUUUAAACACAAGUUUUAAGUUUGAAAGAUGCAAUUGCAUCACUCAAAGAUGAUCCCGCGUUGUAUUAGCUAGUUGGUGAGGUAAAGACUCACCAAGGCGAUGAUACAUAGCCGACCUGAGAGGGUGAUCGGCCACAUUGGGACUGAGACACGGCCCAAACUCCUACGGGAGGCAGCAGUAGGGAAUCUUCGGCAAUGGACGAAAGUCUGACCGAGCAACGCCGCGUGAGUGAAGAAGGUUUUCGGAUCGUAAAACUCUGUUGGUAGAGAAGAACGUUGGUGAGAGUGGAAAGCUCAUCAAGUGACGGUAACUACCCAGAAAGGGACGGCUAACUACGUG